rnacentral:rRNA from 1 species
UACGUAGGAGGCGAGCGUUGUCCGGAGUUACUGGGCGUAAAGGGUGCGCAGGUGGCCGUGCGCGUGGGGAGUGAAAUCGCCUGGCUUAACUGGGCGGGGGCUUUCCAGACGGCGCGGCUUGAGCCACAGAGGGGGGCGUGGAAUUCCGGGUGGAGCGGUGAAAUGCGUAGAUAUCGGUAGGAACACCAGUGGCGAAGGCGGUUUCCUGGAGCUAACUUGACGCUGAGACGCGAAAGCUGGGGGAGCAAACGGG